rnacentral:lncRNA from 1 species
UGCCAAUGUACAAGUUACAUCAUAAUUUAUGUUGUAUUUAUAACAAAUCUUAUAAAUCCGUCAAGGUUGGGAGGAGGUUGUGUUGGCGGUGGUGGAAUUGAAGCUUAUUCAUCACCACUUCCGGGUGAAGUCGCUUCCUUAGCAAGUUCUGCUAUCAUUUCUUCAUAUGCCUCAUCUAUUGCCGAUUGUGAUUCUGCUAUGCCAAAGUUUCUUCUUUCCGCGCGGAUCCAAUCUCU